AUGAACGCUGGCGGCGUGCCUCAUACAUGCAAGUCGAGCGCACGGACGAGAAGCUUGCUUCUCUGAUGUUAGCGGCGGACGGGUGAGUAACACGUGGAUAACCUACCUAUAAGACUGGGAUAACUUCGGGAAACCGGAGCUAAUACCGGAUGAUAUUUUGAACCGCAUGGUUCAAAAGUGAAAGACGGUCUUGCUGUCACUUAUAGAUGGAUCCGCGCUGCAUUAGCUAGUUGGUAAGGUAACGGCUUACCAAGGCAACGAUGCAUAGCCGACCUGAGAGGGUGAUCGGCCACACUGGAACUGAGACACGGUCCAGACUCCUACGGGAGGCAGCAGUAGGGAAUCUUCCGCAAUGGGCGAAAGCCUGACGGGGCAACGCCGCGUGAGUGAUGAAGGUCUUCGGAUCGUAAAACUCUGUUAUUAGGGAAGAACAUAUGUGUAAGUAACUGUGCACAUCUUGACGGUACCUAAUCAGAAAGCCACGGCUAACUACGUG
rnacentral:rRNA from 1 species